GUGCUUGCUUGGCCAGCAUGUGGAGUGAAGUUGGUACAGUACUGAGAAGAUUAGCAUAGCCCCGUGCUAGGAUGACAUGCUAAUUCUUGAAGCAAUCCUUAUUGUU